rnacentral:rRNA from 1 species
GCUGGUAGUAGUCAAGCGAAGGGGUGACGCAGGAAGGUAGCCGUACCAGUCAGUGGUAACACUGGGGCAAGCCGGUAGGGAGAGCGAUAGGCAAAUCCGUCGCUCACUAAUCCUGAGAGGUGACGCAUAGCCGGUUGAGGCGAAUUCGGUGAUCCUCUGCUGCCAAGAAAAGCCUCUAGCGAGCACACACACGGCCCGUACCCCAAACCGACACAGGUGGUCAGGUAGAGCAUACCAAGGCGUACGAGAUAACUAUGGUUAAGGAACUCGGCAAAAUGCCCCCGUAACUUCGGGAGAAGGGGGACCGGAAUAUCGUGAACACCCUUGCGGUGGGAGCGGGAUCCGGUCGCAGAAACCAGUGAGGAGCGACUGUUUACUAAAAACACAGGUCCGUGCGAAGUCGCAAGACGAUGUAUACGGACUGACGCCUGCCCGGUGCUGGAAGGUUAAGAGGACCCGUUAACCCGCAAGGGUGAAGCGGAGAAUUUAAGCCCCAGUAAACGGCGGUGGUAACUAUAACCAUCCUAAGGUAGCGAAAUUCCUUGUCGGGUAAGUUCCGACCUGCACGAAUGGCGUAACGACUUCUCAACUGUCUCAACCAUAGACUCGGCGAAAUUGCACUACGAGUAAAGAUGCUCGUUACGCGCGGCAGGACGAAAAGACCCCGGGACCUUCACUACAACUUGGUAUUGAUGUUCGGUACGGUUUGUGUAGGAUAGGUGGGAGACUGUGAAACCUCGACGCCAGUUGGGGCGGAGUCGUUGUUGAAAUACCACUCUGAUCGUAUUGGGCAUCUAACCUCGAACCCUGAAUCGGGUUUAGGGACAGUGCCUGGCGGGUAGUUUAACUGGGGCGGUUGCCUCCUAAAAUGUAACGGAGGCGCCCAAAGGUUCCCUCAACCUGGACGGCAAUCAGGUGGCGAGUGUAAAUGCACAAGGGAGCUUGACUGCGAGACUUACAAGUCAAGCAGGGACGAAAGUCGGGAUUAGUGAUCCGGCACCCCCGAGUGGAAGGGGUGUCGCUCAACGGAUAAAAGGUACCCCGGGGAUAACAGGCUGAUCUUCCCCAAGAGUCCAUAUCGACGGGAUGGUUUGGCACCUCGAUGUCGGCUCGUCGCAUCCUGGGGCUGGAGCAGGUCCCAAGGGUUGGGCUGUUCGCCCAUUAAAGCGGCACGCGAGCUGGGUUUAGAACGUCGUGAGACAGUUCGGUCUCUAUCCGCCGCGCGCGUCAGAAACUUGAGGAAACCUGUCCCUAGUACGAGAGGACCGGGACGGACGAACCUCUGGUGCACCAGUUGUCCCGCCAGGGGCACCGCUGGAUAGCCACGUUCGGUCAGGAUAACCGCUGAAAGCAUCUAAGCGGGAAACCUUCUCCAAGAUCAGGUUUCUCACCCACUUGGUGGGAUAAGGCCCCCCGCAGAACACGGGUUCAAUAGGUCAGACCUGGAAGCUCAGUAAUGGGUGUAGGGAACUGGUGCUAACCGGCC